UCCUACGGGAGGCAGCAGUGGGGAAUAUUGCACAAUGGGCGAAAGCCUGACGCAGCAACGCCGCGUGAGGGAUGACGGCCUUCGGGUUGUAAACCUCUUUCAGCAGGGACGAAGCGAAAGUGACUGUACCUGCAGAAGAAGCGCCGGCUAACUACGUGCCAGCAGGUAAUA
rnacentral:rRNA from 1 species